CCUUCAAACAAUGCUAGACACGACUGUCGAUUUUCUAUCUUCAGUCGGGCUUACCCUUAACUCAGAUAAAUGUUUUACAGUUGGAAUAAAGGGGCAACCGAAACAGAAGUGUACUGUGGUCAUCCCAGAGACCUUCCGUAUCGGUUCGCGCUCGUGUCCUGCAUUGAAGCGCACAGACGAGUGGAAGUAUUUAGGCAUAACAUUCACUGCACAAGGGAGGACCAGGUACAGUCCAGCCGACGACCUAGGUCCGAAGCUGUUGAGGCUGACAAGGUCCCCCCUAAAACCACAACAGAAAUUGUUCGCACUCAGAACAGUUCUUAUCCCACAACUUUACCAUAAGCUGACCCUAGGUAGUGUGAUGAUAGGUGUUCUGAGGAAGUGUGACAUACUGGUACGUUCGACCGUAAGGAAGUGGUUAGGGCUUCCUCUGGACGUGUCAACUGCAUUCUUCCAUGCUCCUCAUAUUUAUGGGGGCCUCGGAAUCCCUUCAGUUCGUUGGGUAGCGCCAAUGCUACGUAUGAAAAGAUUGAGCAAUAUUAAGUGGGCCCACCUCGCGCAAUCCGAGGCGGCCAGCUCAUUUCUUACCGACGAAUUGAAUAAGGCCCGGGGUAGAACUCUGGCUGGACUGAAUGAGUUGACAUCGCGUUCGGAGAUCGAAACGUAUUGGGCGAACAGGUUGUAUAUGUCUGUUGAUGGUCGCGGCUUACGUGAAGCGGGACUUUUUCGUCCCCAACACGGCUGGGUGUGUCAGCCCACGCGUUUGCUAACAGGUCAAGAUUACCGAAACGGUAUCAAGCUGCGAAUAAAUGCCCUACCAUCGAGGUCUCGUACCACGAGGGGCAGAAAUGAAUUGGAACGGCAAUGUCGUGCAGGUUGUGAUGCUCCCGAAACAACAAACCACAUCCUGCAGAAUUGUUACCGUACGCAUGGGAGGCGGGUAGCAAGACAUAACUGUGUAGUCAAUAACCUUAAGAGGAUUCUUGAGGAGAAGGGCCACACAGUACACGUCGAACCAAGUUUGCAGCUGGAAACCUCGGUAAGUAAACCAGACCUGGUGUGUAUCCGUGACAAUCACGCUUGCGUGAUUGAUGCGCAGAUUAUAACGGAUGGACUGUUUCUCGACGAUGUGCACCAUCGCAAAGUUGAGAAAUAUAAAAGACCGGAAGUUAUAUCUGCACUGCGGAGAGAAUUCGGAGUGUCGGGCAACGUCGAAGUCCUAUCCGCGACGUUAAACUGGCGUGGGAUCUGGAGCAAUCAAUCCGUUAGAAGAUUGAUAGCAAAGGGUCUCAUCUCAUCCGGUGACAGCAAUGUCAUUAGCGCCAGAGUGGUAACAGGCGGACUAUAUUGCUUCAGACAGUUCAUGUAUCUCGCAGGUUACACUCGAGAUUGGACUUAGCCUAUACACUAUGUUGGAGAGAAGACGCUUGCUACCUAGGCAUAAUGUGAAAUUAGGUAUAAACAUCGUGGUUGUAAAACUUGAGGUGGGUUUUUAGUACGUAUGCGUGAUUACUUCGUAAUCAUGAAUCGUGCAUGCUAGUGGGGUUUGGCCUCCACUAGUAUCUUUGAAGAUUUUCCUUCCUCAGCGAUCAAAAAAAAAAAAAAAAAAAAAAAUAGCCAAAUGCCUCGUCAUCUAAUUAGUGACGCGCAUGAAUGGAUUAACGAGAUUCCUACUGUCCCUAUCUACUAUCUAGCGAAACCACAGCCAAGGGAACGGGCUUGGAAUAAUUAGCGGGGAAAGAAGACCCUUUUGAGCUUGACUCUAAUCUGGCAGUGUAAGGAGACAUAAGAGGUGUAGCAUAAGUGGGAGAUAUUAGAUUUCGGUUUGGUAUCGACAAUGAAAUACCACUACUCUUAUUGUUUCCUUACUUACUUGAUUAAAUGGAACGUGUAUCAUUUCCUAGCCAUUAUACGGAUAUAUUUAUUAUAUCUUAUGGUAUUGGGUUUUGAUGCAAGCUUCUUGAUCAAAGUAUCACGAGUUUGUUAUAUAAUCGCAAACAAAUUCUUUAAUGAGAAAAUGCAUUUAUGUAUUUUCAAUUUGAAAAUUUGGUAUAACUCCAAUUACUCAGGUAUGAUCCAAUUCAAGGACAUUGCCAGGUAGGGAGUUUGACUGGGGCGGUACAUCUCUCAAAUAAUAACGGAGGUGUCCCAAGGCCAGCUCAGUGCGGACAGAAACCACACAUAGAGCAAAAGGGCAAAUGCUGACUUGAUCUCGGUGUUCAGUACACACAGGGACAGCAAAAGCUCGGCCUAUCGAUCCUUUUGGUUUAAAGAGUUUUUAACAAGAGGUGUCAGAAAAGUUACCAUAGGGAUAACUGGCUUGUGGCGGCCAAGCGUUCAUAGCGACGUCGCUUUUUGAUCCUUCGAUGUCGGCUCUUCCUAUCAUUGUGAAGCAAAAUUCACCAAGCGUUGGAUUGUUCACCCAUGCAAGGGAACGUGAGCUGGGUUUAGACCGUCGUGAGACAGGUUAGUUUUACCCUACUAAUGACAAAACGUUGUUGCGACAGCAUUCCUGCGUAGUACGAGAGGAACCGCAGGUACGGACCAAUGGCACAAUACUUGUUCGAGCGAACAGUGGUAUGACGCUACGUCCGUUGGAUUAUGCCUGAACGCCUCUAAGGUCGUAUCCGUGCUGGACUGCAAUGAUAAAUAAGGGGCAAUUUGCAUUGU
rnacentral:rRNA from 1 species